rnacentral:lncRNA from 1 species
UUCUGUUUCCCCACCGUCAGCAGUUUUCUGGCAUCAUUUCCUUAAAAGCCAGCUUAGACUUGUAACCUAUCCCUUGGAGCACUCUCUCACCAUUUUAUUUUACUUUCCAUCCAUUGCACUCACCCACCAAGUCCUUAACCCUAGAUCAACCCAACUUCUGACUAGACAGCUGUGAUGGCUAAUACCGAGUGUCAACUUGAUUGGAUUGAAGGAUACAAGAAUGUAAACAGGCAGAAAAAUGUGCAAAGAGAGACUGGCCUAGCCUCUCGGACUACACCUUUCUCCCCUGCUGGAUGCUUCCUGCCCUCUAACAUCAGACUCCAAGUUCUUCAGUUUUGGAACUCAGAUUGGCUCUCCUUGCUCCUCAGCCUGCAGACGGCCUAUUGUGGGACCUUUUGAUUGUGUGAGUUAAUACUUAAUAAACUGCUUUGUAGAUACGUAUCCAUUCCAUUAGUUCUGUCCCUCUAGAGAACCCUGACUAAUACAACAGCUUUAUCCCUUUACUUUAUACAUGUGUUUCCUUGUUUAGGUGUGUUUCUUGUAAGACAUUUAUAGCUGCGUUUUGCUUUGUUUUUAUUCCAAUCUGAGAAUAACAGCUUCUUAAAUUGGUGAGUUUAACUUGUUUAUAUUUAUCGUGAUUACUGAUUUAUUUGGGUAUAUUUAUAUCACCAUUUGAAAGAAAUUUUAUGUUUUUUCUUUGUGCUUUUCCUUUACUAUUUUAGCAUCACUUUAUUUUACCUAUUUUAUUUAUUCUUUUUGAGACAGAGUCUCUCUUCUGUCACUCAGGCUGGAGUGUGUAGUGGCCGGAUCUCUCAGCUCACUGCAAGUGCCUGGCCUCCACGCCAUUCUCCCACCAGCCUCCUGGAGUAGCUGGGAUUCACAGGCCGGCCACCUCGGCCCGGGCUAGUUUUUUGUAUUUUUUUAGUAGAGACGGGGUUUCACUGCUAGCCAGGAUGGUCUUGAUCUCUGACCUCGUGAUUCACCCGCCCCGGCUCCCAAAGUGCUGGGACGGCAGCCUGAGCCACUGCGUCUCG